rnacentral:lncRNA from 1 species
UCGCACAUCUUUACCUGCUCAAAGUGCCUGAUAAUGCUCUGCUGAGUCAGGGUGAGGAGGAGAAGAUGGAUGGGGAGAUGAUCUGUCCAGGGAGCAUGUGUUACAUUUCCCUCCAUUUCACGUGACUCUGGGGAUAUUUGUUCCCUCACCAGUUAUUUCUGAGGUCCUGUGAAAAUGCAGGGCAUGAGUCCAGGCAGAAAAGAAGUUGAACAGUUCCCAGAGAAGCUCAGGCCCUUCUGUUUGUUUCCACGAAUCCUCCAGAAAUGCUUUAUCUGUUAGCU